rnacentral:lncRNA from 1 species
CUCACUGGACCAUCUCACUCUGCAGAAGACAGACUCUGAAGUAAGUAACCAUUUUUCCUUGCACAUAGGUUUAUUAUUUUUUUUGUAAAAGUUAGCUGAGGACAUUAGGGCUGAUCCUUCAUUUUGGUAAAUAUCAGAGUUCAACCAUGUUUAAGUUUUGCCACCACUUUGUUGAGGUAGUGUAUGCCUGAACAGCAAAUUGUACAUUUCAACACAUUUGACACAACUGUUAAUCAGGACAGUGACAGCGACAGUGACAGUGACAGUGACAGCGACAGUGGCAGUAGCAGUAGCAGUGGCAGUGGCAGUGACAGUGGCAGUGAAAGUGUUGAAAGCAGCACGGAUAUUGGGGUUUCUGGCAGAGAUGAAAUGAAAAAAACUUUUUUAUCUGGGAUGCGUGAGGGUUUCUCCAAAGUCUUCAAGUCCAGCAACGUAACUGUGUAACUCUAACCAUGAAACAGGAAUGAUGGCACUUCCCCUUCGCUUCAAACACAAAACCAUUAGUAAAAACACUGAGCAUCCAUUUUGGUGUUAAUUUCACCUUUGUUUUGAAAAUAUAGUACUGUGAGAUGGAAGUAUACUGCAAACAAAGUUGGGAUAUGGGACAUUUUGCUUGCACUGACUAACUAUUAGUGAAGCUUGAAACAGAUGAAAGGUGCAACACUGAUGAAGUUUUAUGGACUGAUUACACGGUUUCAAGGACUAUAUUUUAUCAGUGUGUCCACUGGCACUACCAUAUCUUUGUCUAUAAUCCUGUGUUGCAAACAAUAUCCAGCAUUUACCUUGUUCAUUUUGCACCUCACCGUUGAGUUCACCUUACAAAGAAGUCUACGGUAAGCAAUCCAAGUGAGGUUCACUGUGGACAACUGUGUGUGCGUUUGUCUGCCUGUGUGCAUUGUAGGAGAAGCUUUAGAAGUUUACUUACAAAGACCUUGCUUUGCAUCUGUGAAGGUUUCCCUAACUCUUUAGAGAACAGGGAAUGGAAUACAUCUAGAGAGAAGGGGUGAAAAUCAUAAGCUUAUCAAAAAUGUCAGAUACUCUAUAUUGCAUGUGAUGGGUUUGGUUAUGCCUCUGAGUGAGGAUUGUGAUUUGAAGAUCGUGAUUCACCAAUGUCUCGCAUGACUCAAUUUACCAUAGGGUACCAUUUACCCUAUAUACAAUUAUUGGCACCCCUAGUGAAUUUGAGCAAAACAGGCUAUGAAAAAUAUGUCUUUGCUUUUUAUCCUCUUGGUCUUUCACUCAAAAUAUUCACAAAAAUCUUACCUUUUCAUUGAAGUAAAAUGAUUGAAAGAAAAAAAAACAGUUUUCCCCCAAAACAUGGGUGCCACAAUUAUUGGCACCCCUAAAAAAUCAGCCUGGAAGAGGACGUGUGUGUACAUUGACCCCACUCACCGUGAGGAGGAUGGUUCGACUGGCAAAAAAAUCUCCAAGGAUCACAGCUGGAGAAUUGCAGAGGUUAGUUGAGUCUUGGGGUCAGAAAGUCCCCAAAACUACCAUCAGACGCCACCUACAUCACUGAUGGAGAUAAUUUCCAAACACUGUUAAUGACUUAAGAAUAUAAUAAUCAAGUGCCUUGUAUUAUUAAUUACCUUAUAUGAAUCAUGUACUUAUGUAGCAGGAACAUGGCUUUUCUGUGUUUCUGCGUGUGUGUAACUUAGAAUAUUAGGUGCCACUUAGUCUGCAUAUGUACAAGAGCAUGUUUAGACCAGAAGUGAUAAGAAGGGUCGAACUGUGCUUCUUCCGACCUUGCAAAACUUCCAUCCUUGCCUCGGACGUCAGAAAUCCACCACGUGGUUAUCUCUGCUGAACGCUAAACUUCUGUCUAUAUAAACCUUGUGCGAUGUGUUUAUCAUUGCUUCACUUUCAGCCUUGUGCUGGGAGUGAGCCCGAUUGCAAUUGUUGUUUGUCUAAUAAAUAUACUUAUAUGCAGCUUCGG